GAUGAACGCUAGCGACAGGCUUAACACAUGCAAGUCGAGGGGCAGCAUAAAAGUAGCAAUACUUUGGUGGCGACCGGCGCACGGGUGAGUAACGCGUAUGCAACCUACCUAUCAGAGGGGGAUAACCCGGCGAAAGUCGGACUAAUACCGCAUAAAACAGGGGCACCGCAUGGUGAUAUUUGUUAAAAAUUUAUUGCUGAUAGAUGGGCAUGCGUUCCAUUAGGUAGUUGGAGAGGUAACGGCUCACCAAGCCCACGAUGGAUAGGGGAACUGAGAGGUUGGUCCCCCACACUGGUACUGAGACACGGACCAGACUCCUACGGGAGGCAGCAGUGAGGAAUAUUGGUCAAUGGGCGAGAGCCUGAACCAGCCAAGUCGCGUGAAGGAAGAAGGAUCUAUGGUUCGUAAACUUCUUUUGCAGGGGAAUAAAGUGCAGGACGUGUCCUGUUUUGUAUGUACCCUGAGAAUAAGGAUCGGCUAACUCCGUGCCAGCAGCCGCGGUAAACACGG
rnacentral:rRNA from 1 species